rnacentral:rRNA from 1 species
AAAGGAAUAGACGGGGGCCCGCACAAGCGGAGGAACAUGUGGUUUAAUUCGAUGAUACGCGAGGAACCUUACCCGGGCUUGAAAGUUAGCGACGAUUCUUGAAAGAGGAUUUCCCUUCGGGGCGCGAAACUAGGUGCUGCAUGGUUGUCGUCAGCUCGUGCCGUGAGGUGUCGGGUUAAGUCCCAUAACGAGCGCAACCCCUACCGUUAGUUGCCAUCAGGUGAAGCUGGGCACUCUGGCGGGACUGCCGGUGUAAGCCGAGAGGAAGGUGGGGAUGACGUCAAAUCAGCACGGCCCUUACGUCCGGGGCUACACACGUGUUACAAUGGUAGGUACAGAGGGCAGCUACCCAGCGAUGGGAUGCGAAUCUCGAAAGCCUAUCUCAGUUCGGAUUGGAGGCUGAAACCCGCCUCCAUGAAGUUGGAUUCGCUAGUAAUCGCGCAUCAGCCAUGGCGCGGUGAAUACGUUCCCGGGCCUUGCACACACCGCCCGU